GUUCAUCUUCAGGGCAGGGUGUGAUUCCCGACCGGUGGUAAAAGUCCACGACCUUCUUGCAAAAGAGGCUGAUGCGGUGUAAGUCCGCGACCGACUGUAUAGUCAGGAUGGGAGAAGAUGUGA
rnacentral:ncRNA from 2 species